CGGCGAGUGAAGCGGCAACAGCUCAAAUUUGAAAUCUGGCCUCUUGGGGUCCGAGUUGUAAUUUGUAGAGGAUGUUUCGGGUACCGCCUCGGUUUAAAUUUCUUGGAACAGAAUGUCAAAGAGGGUGAGAAUACCGUCUUGAACCGGCGACCGGGCCUAUGUGAAACUCCUUCGACGAGUCGAGUUGUUUGGGAAUGCAGCUCAAAAUGGGUGGUAAAUUUCAUCUAAAGCUAAAUAUUGGCCAGAGACCGAUAGCGCACAAGUAGAGUGAUCGAAAGAUGAAAAGCACUUUGAAAAGAGAGUUAAACAGUAUGUGAAAUUGUUGAAAGGGAAGCGCUUGCAACCAGACUUGAGCGCGGCGGUUCCCCCUUGCUUCUGCUUGGGUUACUCCGCCGUGUCCAGGCCAACAUCGGUUCUGGGGGUCGGUCAAAGGCUCUGGGAAUGUAUCUACCCACGGGUAGACUUAUAGACCAGGGUGUCAUGCGACCUCCCGGGACCGAGGAACGCGCUUCGGCUCGGAUGUUGGCGUAAUGGUUGUCAGCGACCCGUCUUGAAACACGGACCA
rnacentral:rRNA from 1 species